UACGUAGGGGGCGAGCGUUGUCCGGAUUUAUUGGGCGUAAAAGGCUUGUAGGUGGCCACGUCAAGUCGGAUGUGAAAUCUCCCGGCUCAACUGGGAGGGGUCAUUCGAUACUGGCGGGCUCGAGGCCGGUAGGGGGAAGCGGAAUUCCCGGUGUAGUGGUGAAAUGCGUAGAUAUCGGGAGGAACACCAGUGGCGAAGGCGACUUCCUGGCCUGUUCUUGACGCUGAGGCGCGAAAGCUAGGGGAGCAAACGGG
rnacentral:rRNA from 1 species